ACGCACGCUGGCGGCAUGCCUCACACCUGCCAGUCGAACGAGACCUUCGGGUCUAGUGGCGCACGGGUGCGUAACGCGUGGGAACCUGCCCUUAGGUUCGGAAUAACUCCCCGAAAGGGGUGCUAAUACCGGAUAAUGUCUUCGGACCAAAGAUUUAUCGCCUUUGGAUGGGCCCGCGUUGGAUUAGCUAGUUGGUAGGGUAAAAGCCUACCAAGGCGACGAUCCAUAGCUGGUCUGAGAGGAUGAUCAGCCACACUGGGGCUGAGACACGGCCCAGACUCCUACGGGAGGGGCGAGUGGGGAAUUUUGAAAAGGGGGCGAAGGCUUGAUCGCGCUUUGCCGGGUGAGUAAUGAAGGCCUGGGGGUUGAAAAGUUUUUUUACCCGGGGAGAUAAUGACGUUACCGGAAGAAUAAGCCCCGGCUAACCCCGUG
rnacentral:rRNA from 1 species